UUCUUCUACUCCCUCUCUCCAUCUCACGUUUUCCUCUCUCAAGGGAGCCUAGGGGGAAAUUCUGAUUUUCAAGGAAUUCUUGGGGAAUUCUUGGGGGAUGUCUUAAGGAAUUGAAGCUUUGAACGAGGGAGAAUCAGCUGGGAAAUCUAGGAGUUUAAGCUCAAGGGUGGAAGGCUAGAGGCUGGUGAGGAGUUAACCAUAAUUGGGGUCUAUUGCUAAGGCUCGAGGCUUGGGACCAUGCACAGAACCAGUUCACCUUCCCUACUCGGAAUCAAAGAUUAAGGCAAGGGUAAGAUGGUUCAACCAUGGGUUGAGAGCUCUGGGGGCGAGGUGUACAUUGUCAGCUGCUCGGCCGCCACGGUCGAGGGAUUGUACAGGGACGGAAACCUAAAAUGUGUAUUUUACCAUUAGAGUGGCCUUGAUUAUUUAUAACUUUUGGAAAUUUUGUAAAUAUGUCAUUUAAACCCUAUUUUGGGAUCCCAUGUACUAAACUUUCAUUUUAAUGAAA